CCAAUAGCGUAUAUUAAAGUUGUUGCAGUUAAAAAGCUCGUAGUUGAAUUUCGGGAUCAAUAUGUCGGUCGUGCCUUCGGUACGUACUGGUAUCAUUGGUCUCUCCUUUCUGACGAACCAUGAUGUCAUUAAUUUGGUGUUAUGGCUAGUUAGGACUGUUACUUUGAAAAAAUUAGAGUGUUUAAAGCAGGCUUUAGCUU
rnacentral:rRNA from 1 species